rnacentral:rRNA from 1 species
GAUGAACGCUGGCGGCGUGCUUAACACAUGCAAGUCGAACGGAAAGGCCCUGCUUUUGUGGGGCGCUCGAGUGCCGCACGGGUGAGUAACACGUGAGUAACCUGCCCCUGUCUUAGGGAUAUCUUCAGGAAACUGGGGCUAAUACAGGGGAGGAGCUCCUGCUGCAUGGUGGGGGUUGGAAAGUUUCGGCCUUGCGGGAUGGACUCGCGGCUUAUCAGCUUGUUGGGGGGGUAGUGGCUUACCAAGGCUUUGACGGGUAGCCGGCCUGGGAGGGUGACCGGCCACAAUGGGACUGAGGUACGGCCCAGACUCCUACGGGAGGCAGCAGUGGGGAAUCUUGCACAAUGGGCGGAAGCCUGAUGUAGAAACGCUGCGUGCGGAAUGCCGGGUUUCGGGUUAUAAACCGCUUUCGCCUGUGACGAGGCGUGAGUGACGGUAAUGGGUAAAGAAGCAACGGCUAACUACGUG